GACUGAGCGGCGGACGGGUGAGUAACGCGUGGGGAACCUGCCCUGUACCGGGGGAUAACAGUUAGAAAUGGCUGCUAAUACCGCAUAAGCGCACAGCAAGGCAUCUUGCCGUGUGAAAAACUCCGGUGGUACAGGAUGGACCCGCGUUGGAUUAGCCAGUUGGCGGGGUAACGGCCCACCAAAGCGACGAUCCAUAGCCGGCCUGAGAGGGCGACUGGCCACAUUGGGACUGAGACACGGCCCAAACUCC
rnacentral:rRNA from 1 species